rnacentral:rRNA from 1 species
UACGUAGGGUGCAGGCGUUAAUCGGAAUUACUGGGCGUAAAGCGUGCGCAGGCGGUCUGCUAAGAGAGAUGUGAAAUCCCCGGGCUUAACCUGGGAACUGCGUUUCUAACUGGCAGGCUUGAGUGUGGCAGAGGGGGGUGGAAUUCCACGUGUAGCAGUGAAAUGCGUAGAGAUCGGGAAGAAUACCUGUGGCGAAGGCGGCCAGCUGGGCCAGGUCCGACGCUGAGGCGCGAAAGCGUGGGGAGCGAACAGG